AUUGAACGCUGGCGGCAGGCCUAACACAUGCAAGUCGAACGAGUGGCGGACGGGUGAGUAAUGUCUGGGAAACUGCCCGAUGGAGGGGGAUAACUACUGGAAACGGUAGCUAAUACCGCAUACCAUCGGAUGUGCCCAGAUGGGAUUAGCUAGUAGGUGGGGUAACGGCUCACCUAGGCGACGCUCCCUAGCUGGUCUGAGAGGAUGACGAGCAACACUGGAACUGAGACACGGUCCAGACUCCUACGGGAGGCAGCAGUGGGGAAUAUUGCGCAAUGGGGGCAACCCUGACGCAGCCAUGCCGCGUGAAUGAAGAAGGCCUUAGGGUUGUAAAGUACUUUCAGCGGGGAGGCGUUACCCGCAGAAGAAGCACCGGCUAACUCCGUGCCAGCAGCCGCGGUAAUUC
rnacentral:rRNA from 1 species